GACGAACGCUGGCGGCGUGCUUAACACAUGCAAGUCGAACGGAAAGGCCCUGCUUUUGUGGGGUGCUCGAGUGGCGAACGGGUGAGUAACACGUGAGUAACCUGCCCUUGACUUUGGGAUAACUUCAGGAAACUGGGGCUAAUACCGGAUAGGAGCUCCUGCUGCAUGGUGGGGGUUGGAAAGUUUCGGCGGUUGGGGAUGGACUCGCGGCGUAUCAGCUUGAUGGUUGGGUAGUGGCUUACCAAGGCUUGGCCGGGUAGCCGGCCUGAGAGGGUGACCGGCCACAUUGGGCUUGAGAUACGGCCCAGACUCCUACGGGAGGCAGCAGUGGGGAAUAUUGCACAAUGGGCGGAAGCCUGAUGCAGCAACGCCGCGUGCGGGAUGACGGCCUUCGGGUUGUAAACCGCUUUCGCCUGUGACGAAGCGUGAGUGACGGUAAUGGGUAAAGAAGCACCGGCUAACUACGUG
rnacentral:rRNA from 1 species